AUUGAACGCUGGCGGCAUGCCUUACACAUGCAAGUCGAACGGUAACGGGCCUUCGGGUGCCGACGAGUGGCGAACGGGUGAGUAAUGCAUCGGAACGUACCUUUCAGUGGGGGAUAACGUAGCGAAAGUUACGCUAAUACCGCAUAUUCUGUGAGCAGGAAAGCAGGGGAUCGCAAGACCUUGCGCUGAUUGAGCGGCCGAUGUCAGAUUAGCUAGUUGGUGAGGUAAAGGCUCACCAAGGCGACGAUCUGUAGCGGGUCUGAGAGGAUGAUCCGCCACACUGGAACUGAGACACGGUCCAGACUCCUACGGGAGGCAGCAGUGGGGAAUCUUGGACAAUGGGCGAAAGCCUGAUCCAGCGACGCCGCGUGGAGGAAGAAGUCCUUCGGGAUGUAAACUUCUGAACUAGCCGAAUAAAAGGCCUGUGGACACACAGGAGAAGAAAGUAGGCUAGGAAAAGUCCCGGCUAACUACGUG
rnacentral:rRNA from 1 species